CCUACGGGUGGCAGCAGUGGGGAAUAUUGCGCAAUGGGCGAAAGCCUGACGCAGCGACGCCGCGUGAGGGAUGAAGGUCUUCGGAUCGUAAACCUCUGUCAGCAGGGACGAACGGUCACUGUGCUAAUCAGCAGUGAAUUGACGGGACCUGCAAAGGAAGCACCGGCUAACUUCGUGCCAGCCACCGCGGUAAUACGGAGGGUGCGAGCGUUAAUCGGAAUUAAUGGGCGGAAAGCGCUCGUCGGCGGUAUGUCAAGGCAAGGGGUAAAUCCCCGCGGUCAACGUGGGAACUGCCUUUGAAACUGGCAAACUGGAGUGUGUGAGAGGAUAGUGGAAUUCCAGGUGUAGGAGUGAAAUCCGUAGAUAUUUGGAGGAACAUCAGUGGCGAAGGCGACUAUCUGGCACAUAACUGACGCUGAGGAGCGAAAGCGUGGGUAGCAAACAGGAUUAGAUACCCUAGUAGUC
rnacentral:rRNA from 1 species